rnacentral:rRNA from 1 species
CCCUUCGGGGGUGACGCUUGUGGAAUGAGCGGCGGACGGGUGAGUAACACGUGGGCAACCUGCCUGUAAGAUUGGGAUAACCCCGGGAAACCGGGGCUAAUACCGGAUAACACUUUUUGUUGCAUGACGAGAAGUUGAAAGGCGGCUUCGGCUGCCACUUACAGAUGGGCCCGCGGCGCAUUAGCUAGUUGGUAAGGUAACGGCUUACCAAGGCGACGAUGCGUAGCCGACCUGAGAGGGUGAUCGGCCACACUGGGACUGAGACACGGCCCAGACUCCUACGGGAGGCAGCAGUAGGGAAUCUUCCGCAAUGGACGAAAGUCUGACGGAGCAACGCCGCGUGAGUGAUGAAGGUUUUCGGAUCGUAAAACUCUGUUGUUAGGGAAGAACAAGUCGGGUAGUAACUGACCCGGCCUUGACGGUACCUAACCAGAAAGCCCCGGCUAACUACGUGCCAGCAGCCGCGGUAAUACGUAGGGGGCAAGCGUUGUCCGGAAUUAUUGGGCGUAAAGCGCUCGCAGGCGGUCCUUUAAGUCUGAUGUGAAAUCUCGCGGCUCAACCGCGAACGGUCAUUGGAAACUGGAGGACUUGAGUACAGAA